AGUAAGCUACUAAGGGCGCAUGGUGAAUGCCUAGGCUUUAGGAGGCGAUGAAGGACGUGAUAGGCUGCGAAAUGCUUCGGGGAGGUGCCUAAUAACCUUUGAUCCGGAGAUGUCCGAAUGGGGAAACCCACCGCUUCGGCGGUACCCACUAGUGAAUACAUAGCUAGUGUGGAGCAAACUCAGGGAACUGAAACAUCUAAGUACCUGAAGGAAUAUAAAUCAACCGAGAUUCCGGUAGUAGUGGCGAGCGAACCCGGAUUAGCCCAAACCACAGGGAUUUUUCUCUGCGGGGUUGUGGGGCCAGUAACGUAGACCUCGAGUGUUAGUGGAACGGUCUGGAAAGUCCGGCCAUAGUGGGUGAUAGCCCCGUACGCGAAAACACAAAAGGCUUAACUGGUACCCGAGUAGGACGGGACACGUGGAAUCCUGUCUGAAUCUGGGGGGACCAUCCUCCAAGGCUAAAUACUACCUAAAGACCGAUAGUGAAAUAGUACCGUGAGGGAAAGGUGAAAAGAACCCCGGUGAGGGGAGUGAAAUAGAUCUGAAACCAUGCGCUUACAAGCAGUCGGAGCGUAAGUGACGGCGUGCCUUUUGCAUAAUGAGUCGGCGAGUUAACGUUACGUGCAAGAUUAAGGUGUUCAGCACCGUAGUCGCAGCGAAAGCGAGUCUGAAUAGGGCGCUUAGUACGUGGCGUUAGACCCGAAACCCGGUGAUCUAUCCAUGAGCAGGUUGAAGCUGGGGUAAUUCCCAGUGGAGGACCGAACUCGUAGCCGUUGAAAAGGCUUGGGAUGACUUGUGGAUGGGGGUGAAAGACCAAUCAAACUGGGUGAUAGCUGGUUCUCCGCGAAACAUAUUUAGGUAUGGCGUCGUCCGUUUCCUACGGGGGGUAGAGCACUGACUGGGCUAGGGGUCUUACCAGAUUACCAAACCCAUUCAAACUCCGAAUACCCGUAUGGUUAGGACGGCAGACAGACAGUGGCUGAGAAGGGUCAUUGUCGAGAGGGGAAGAGCCCAGAUCGUCAGCUAAGGUCCCAAAGAGCAUGCUAAGUGGAAAACGAUGUGGGGGCGCAUAGACAGCCAGGAUGUUGGCUUAGAAGCAGCCAUCAUUCAAAGAAAGCGUAACAGCUCACUGGUCAAGUGCUCCUGCGCGGAAAAUGUAACGGGGCUAAGCAUGCCACCGAAGCUACGGACUCGUAAGAGUGGUAGCGGAGCAUUGUAGCAACCUGCGAAGGUGUCUCGUGAGGGAUGCUGGAGGAACUACAAGAGCAUAUGCCGACAUAAGUAGCGAAAAGCGUGUGAGAAACACGCUCGCCGGAAGCCCAAGGUUUCCUGGGUCAAGGUAAUCUUCCCAGGGUUAGUCGGUCCCUAAGGUGAGGCCGAAAGGCGUAAUUGAUGGGAAGCAGGUUAAUAUUCCUGCACCGAUGUUGUGGAGUGAUGCGGGGGUAGAGAAGGGUAGCUGUGCCGGUUAUUGGAUUCCGGUUCAAGCAUGUAGGGAGAUCUUCCUGGUAAGUCCGGAAGGUCAAUCCUGAGAUGUGACGUGGUGGACUUCGGUCCUGAAGUCAGUGAUCCCAUGCUCGCAAGAAAAGCCGCUAAACGUUGAAGCAACAACGACCGUACCGCAAACCGACUCAGGUGGGCAGGGAGAGAAUCCUAAGGUGAUUGAGUGAAACCAAGUUAAGGAACUCGGCAAAUUGCCACCGUAACUUCGGGAUAAGGUGGGCCAGUAUGGUGUAAGGACUUGCUCCUGAAGCCUAAUCUGGUUGCAGAGAAGAGGGGGUAGCGACUGUUUACCAAAAACACAGCACUGUGCAAACUCGUAAGAGGAAGUAUACGGUGUGACGCCUGCCCGGUGCUGGAAGGUUAAGAGGAGAUGUCAGCGCAAGCAAAGCGUCGAAUCGAAGCCCCAGUAAACGGCGGCCGUAACUAUAACGGUCCUAAGGUAGCGAAAUUCCUUGUCGGGUAAGUUCCGACCUGCACGAAUGGCGUAACGACUUCCCCGCUGUCUCGACUUGGUGCUCAGCGAAUUUGAAAAACGGGUGCAGAUGCCCGUUACCCGCAGCAAGACGGAAAGACCCCGUGAACCUUUACUAUAGCUUGGCACUGGUAUUCGAAUUGGUCUGUGUAGGAUAGGUGGGAGACUUCGAAGUAGGGGCGCUAGCUCUUAUGGAGUCAUCGGUGAAAUACCACCCUGAUCAAUUUGUGUAUCUAACCUAGUCCCAUAAUCUGGGAUGGGGACAGUGUCUGGUGGGUAGUUUGACUGGGGCGGUCGCCUCCAAAAAAGUAACGGAGGCGCGCAAAGGUCCCCUCAGACCGGAUGGAAAUCGGUCGCAGAGUGCAAACGCAUAAGGGGGCUUAACUGCGAGACUGACAGGUCGAGCAGGUACGAAAGUAGGUGUUAGUGAUCCGGUGGUCCCGCAUGGAAGGGCCAUCGCUCAACGGAUAAAAGGUACUCCGGGGAUAACAGGCUGAUCUCCUCCAAGAGUUCACAUCGACGAGGAGGUUUGGCACCUCGAUGUCGGCUCAUCACAUCCUGGGGCUGAAGCAGGUCCCAAGGGUUUGGCUGUUCGCCAAUUAAAGUGGUACGCGAGCUGGGUUCAGAACGUCGUGAGACAGUUCGGUCCCUAUCUGCUGUGGGCGCAGGAAAUUUGAGAGGCUCUGUCCUUAGUACGAGAGGACCGGGAUGGACGUAUCUCUAGUGCACCAGUUGUCACGCCAGUGGCACGGCUGGGUAGCUAUAUACGGAUGGGAUAACCGCUGAAAGCAUCUAAGUGGGAAGCCCGCCUCAAGAUAAGAUUUCCCAGGCUUCGGCCCUAAAGGCUCGUUCUAGACCAGGACGUUGAUAGGGUGGGGGUGGAAGUACAGUAAUGUACGGAGCUGACCACUACUAAUUAGCCGUGCGGCUUAAUAAA
rnacentral:rRNA from 1 species